rnacentral:rRNA from 1 species
GCUACACAUGCAGUCGAGCGGAAACGAGAAGUAGCUUGCUACUUCGGCGUCGAGCGGCGGACGGGUGAGUAAUGCCUGGGAAAUUGCCUUGAUGUGGGGGAUAACCAUUGGAAACGAUGGCUAAUACCGCAUAAUGCUUUUGUUUGUAAUGAACAGGAGCCAAAGAGGGGGACCUUCGGGCCUCUCGCGUCAAGAUAUGCCCAGGUGGGAUUAGCUAGUUGGUGAGGUAAUGGCUCACCAAGGCGACGAUCCCUAGCUGGUCUGAGAGGAUGAUCAGCCACACUGGAACUGAGACACGGUCCAGACUCCUACGGGAGGCAGCAGUGGGGAAUAUUGCACAAUGGGCGCAAGCCUGAUGCAGCCAUGCCGCG